AAGUCGUAACAAGGUUUCCGUAGGUGAACCUGCGGAAGGAUCAUUACCGAGAUUUUUUCAUGGACUUGUUUUAUGAAAUCUCCCACCCUUUGUGUUACCAAAUAUUAUUACUUUGGUGAAGCGUGUCUUUCUUUUUCUAUCUGUCUCUGGAGUCUCUUUUGACGAAGGGGAAAGGUAAAGAGGGGAAAUCCAUCGGCUCUUGAUUGAGUGGGUGUGUUCUUCACCAAAGGAACCAUUAACUCUUUUAUUAUUUUAUCAAUUGUCUGAGUUUAUAUUUUAAAUAAACAAAACUUUCAACAACGGAUCUCUUGGUUCUG
rnacentral:misc_RNA from 1 species